GAAGCUUUUAUAUAUAUAAAAUCUCCAGUGGUAACAGUUACUAUAUAGUAUAUAUGAAAACGUUUUUUAAUGGCACAUUUUAAAAUGCAUAUUACACUUUAUUUGUGUGUAUCAUCUACAUUAAUGAGACUUUUAGAAAUAAAUUAAUUUUACUCAGUCAAUACAUUGUUAUUUGUGUACUUCAGAAAAUAAGUAUUGCUCUGGAUUCUUAGAAGUAUCAGAAAACCCCUAUCCUUAGUACCCCAUCCUUAAACACGGAGUUCUAAUGAGAAAGAAAGUAUUUGUUAAGUAGAAAGUGGUAUGCAGAAAACAGAAGCAGGAAAAGGAAUUAGGGAGUGGGUGUGGGGAGGAAGAAGGAAGUCACUCUUCACUUAGGAAUGAGUAGUGUAUAAAUCAGGGUUCCAAGGCUUCAAAGACAUGAAAAGGAAUUUUCAGAGCCUUGUACAACUUAGUUGUUUAAGAUUGUGUGUUAUCUUUACUUCCCCAAUAAAACUGCUUCUUUAGAAACCAAGUCUCAGUUGAGAGUAGCCAGGAAAGACUUGGGCAGAAAAGUGAUGUGAGAGAUAAGCUGGGUAAGAGUGUCCCAGGGGGGAUGGCAGGUGAAAAGAAAGGCUACGGCAUGAGAGCACUCAAGAAUUCAAGAAGAGAGUGUGUGUGUGUGUGUGUGUGUGUGUGUGUGUGUGUGUGUGUGUGUGUGAGACAGGAGUAGUGAGCUCUGGGGAAGAGUAGGUGGCACUAGGUUAAGGGGAGCUAGAUGAACAGAUUUUCAGGUCUUGCAUGAGCUUUGGCUCUCAUAAAUGGAAAGCUCUUGGAGGGUGUUUUUCCACCCAAAGAUGCAAGAUAUGAUUUAGGUUUGUUAGGCUGAGUGGGAGAGUGAAGCUGUAAGAGGAGAGGACACACGUACCAAAAUUUGAGAGCAGUUAGGAGACUGGAUACGUGCUAUCAGUGGCCUUGACCUGGGUGACAGUGUUCUUCAUAAGAAAUCCCUGGGUCUGGAUUGAAGGUAGAGCUAACAGUAUUUGAUAAAGUUGGACUGUGUGAUGUAGAAAAGGAACCAAUGUGUGGGACUUGAGCAGACCAGAAGAAUAUAGUUCUGAGGGAACCGAGGGAACAGGGUUGGGAAGAGGCUAAGAGCUUUAUUUUUGACAGUCUGGUUUUGAAGUGCCUGACUUAAGUGCAGUGGGUGUGUUGGGACAGUGGACCUAUAUAGAUCUGCUGGGUUGCAAUCCUAUCUGGUUUAGGCUUGUGCAUUCAGGACUCUAAUGUGAAGAUGGAGUGUCUGCACUAUGAAAAUACCCGAGCCUGUCUGCUAAGGCUGUCUGCAGGAUGGGUGCUGCUAGGGCAGGAAAGGAGCACUCAACUCUGCGUCAGAAAGAAGCUGAAGUGAGGAACCCAGGAGUGUGGAAGGACCUGGAGUUUUAGGGAUGUUGGAAUGGCUUCCUUGCAUCAGAUGGCAUUCAGGAGCCAAGUCAGGACUCAAAUGGCCACUUUCGUUAGCUACCUAGGGCAGUUUUGCAUAGCUGACUUUAACAAGUGUGGCUUUGUUCAAGUCUAUGAUUAGGUCCAAGCUUGCCUGGAGAUGACACCAAAGGAGAAAAAGAAAGCUACUAUUUGCUGUAAUCGUUCAUUUUUAAGCUCAUGUAAAUGUUCUGUCUGAACUUAAAUAGGUGAUGCCUAUUUUCCUCUUAAAUUAAUUGUAUUAUUCUUUAGCAUAUUUCCUACAGAGGCAACUUGAUAAUUGCCCUAUUUUCCAUAUUUCCAAAGAAUUUUGAGUCUUUUUUUUUCUUUUUCCUUUCUAGCCCUAUUUAAAUCCAGUGCUUGGUUAUCCCUUACCUUCAAGAACCUUGUUGAAAGAAUACCUUCUUGUCUAUACAGACUCCAAUCCAUCCUUCACACUUCUCCCCCAUACAAGCUCCAUCUGGCAGUUCUUAAUUCAUGACUUCAGGGGUUGCCUGGUUUUGAACAGGUGAAGUCUACACUCUGCAAAAGCCUUGCUUUCUGUCACUGUACCAUUCUGUAAUGAAGCAGCAUCCAUGAGCUCAGUAGCCCCAGAUGUUUGUUUUGCAGUGAAAUUCAAGGGUCACUUUUGCUACCGGCAACAUUGCAAAUACUUGCUCAAAAAACUAAUGACAGUGAUACAUUGUGAAUACUUGCUAAUCUCCAGACUCUUCUUCAAGGCUUACUGCUGUUAAUAACACUGCAGUCCUUGGAUUCUCUGACAUCUCUGUACUUCCCUUGGAGUAGUUAAACAUUGAUGUGUGUAACCCUGUGAACCCUAGCAUGUGUAACUUUCUGUUAAACACCUUUGCUAGGCACAUUCAUAGUUUAAAUGUGCACUUGGUGCUUUGAAACAGAUGGUGAGGUGGCACAUUGCUGUCUGUACCUAAGAGCAUUUGGCAGUGCUAAAAUUGAGCUUUCUGUUUAGUUCAAAAUAAUUCAGUGAUGAGUGGGCUACUUUGUACUUUUCUUCCCUCAGAUUCUGAGUAUUUGGAAGUCUUAGCUUCCAAUGACUCAAACUACAUAAAACCGUAUUUAACUAUGUAUAAGCACCUUCCUAAAAUGAGACUUUGUGAGUAGACAAGUACCUAGUCGGUGGCUAAGUCCUGUGUAUCAGUCGGCAUGUAUCACUUGUUCUGUCAUAAUGGUGUUUCUAGUGAGACUAGCAAGUGCUUGCUUCUAUUUAAUUGUGCACACAAAACCUAGGCUUAAAGGGAACCGUUCAUUAAACUCACGGUAAACUGAAAUGUUCAUAUAUUACUGAUGUGAUUUAAAGGAACAAAGUGCCCCCACCCCUGUUUCAGUUUAUUCCCCCUAGUGCCUCUCGGAUACUUUACUUAGACUGCACUCUCCAUAUAUGCCUGGGCUGGAGGAUCUCAGCUAACAGAAUCUCUCAAGUCUGUGUUUAUAGAAGGGCAUGUCACAGAUCCAUUAGCGUUUCUGAAGUCCAGUAACUUGGUAACUAAAAUUGGCAAUCCCUUUGUAUUUUGACUUGUAGAUUGUUAUAUCCUCUCAGUGUAUUUUUUUCCUCGUGUAUUUUCAAAGUAGGAUUAACAUAACCUAUUUAUCAUUCAGAAAUACUAGCUAUAAAUUAUCAUGGGAUUCCAAAAGCCCACAGGAAGAUACAGAGCUCCAGCAGGACUCCUGCAGAGAAAGUACAAACACAUUCCCGUUGGCACUGGGGUGUGGGUGUUGCCUGUGGUGAUGGUGGAUCAGGAGGUAUGAUUUAGGGAGGCACCACACUUGGGAAACCAGCCAACCCAUUUAAAUUCUGGUGAGAA
rnacentral:lncRNA from 1 species